GAUGAAGAACGUAGCGAAAUGCGAUAAGUAAUGUGAAUUGCAGAAUUCAGUGAAUCAUCGAAUCUUUGAACGCACAUUGCGCCCGCCAGUAUUCUGGCGGGCAUGUCUGUUCGAGCGUCAUUACAACCCUCAGGCCCCCGGGCCUGGCGUUGGGGAUCGGCGGAGCCCCCCGUGGGCACACGCCGUCCCCCAAAUGCAGUGGCGGUCCCGCCGCAGCUUCCAUCGCGUAGUAGCUAACACCUCGCGACUGGAGAGCGGCGCGGCCACGCCGUAAAACACCCAACUCUUCUGAAGUUGACCUCGAAUCAGGUAGGAAUACCCGCUGAACUUAAGCAUAUCAAUAAGCGGAGGA
rnacentral:misc_RNA from 1 species